UGGGGAAUUUUGGACAAUGGGGGAAACCCUGAUCCAGCCAUCCCGCGUGUGCGAUGAAGGCCCUCGGGUUGUAAAGCACUUUUGGCAGGAAAGAAACGUCAUGGGUUAAUACCCCGUGAAACUGACGGUACCUGCAGAAUAAGCACCGGCUAACUACGUGCCAGCAGCCGCGGUAAGACGUAGGGUGCAAGCGUUAAUCGGAAUUACUGGGCGUAAAGCGUGCGCAGGCGGUUCGGAAAGAAAGAUGUGAAAUCCCAGAGCUCAACUUUGGAACUGCAUUUUUAACUACCGGGCUAGAGUGUGUCAGAGGGAGGUGGAAUUCCGCGUGUAGCAGUGAAAUGCGUAGAUAUGCGGAGGAACACCGAUGGCGAAGGCAGCCUCCUGGGAUAACACUGACGCUCAUGCACGAAAGCGUGGGGAGCAAACAGG
rnacentral:rRNA from 1 species